rnacentral:rRNA from 1 species
UACAGAGGUCUCAAGCGUUGUUCGGAUUUAUUGGGCGUAAAGAGCGUGUAGGCGGCUUCACAGGUCCGCUGUGAAAACUCGAGGCUCAACCUCGAGCUGUCGGUGGAAACCGUGUGGCUAGAGUCCGGAAGAGGAGAGUGGAAUUCCCGGUGUAGCGGUGAAAUGCGCAGAUAUCGGGAAGAACACCCGUGGCGAAGGCGGCUCUCUGGGACGGUACUGACGCUGAGACGCGAAAGCGUGGGGAGCGAACAGG